CCUACGGGCGGCUGCAGUGAGGAAUAUUGGUCAAUGGCCGGAAGGCUGAACCAGCCAUGCCGCGUGAAGGUCAGUGCCCUAUGGGCGUUAAACUUCUUUUGUGCGGGAGCAAUAAUCGUCACGUGUGGCCAGACGAGAGUACCGUACGCAUAAGCAUCGGCUAACUCCGUGCCAGCAGCCGCGGUCAGACGGGGGAUGCAAGCGUUAUCCGGAUUUAGUGGGUUUAAGGGGUGCGUAGGCUGUGAGGUAAGUCAGCGGUGAAAUGCCCCCGCUCAACGGGGUGAAGUGCCAUUGAUACUGGCUAGCUGGAAUGCGGAUGCGGUGAGAGGAAUGUGUGGUGUAGCGGUGAAAUGCAUAGAUAUCACACAGAACACCGAUUGCGAAGGCAUCUCACGAAUCCGCGAUUGACGCUGAUGAACGAAAGCGUGGGUAUCAAACAGGAUUAGAUACCCCAGUAGUC
rnacentral:rRNA from 1 species